rnacentral:rRNA from 1 species
CAGUAGCCGCGGUAAUACAGAGGGUGCGAGCGUUAAUCGGAUUUACUGGGCGUAAAGCGUGCGUAGGCGGCUUUUUAAGUCGGAUGUGAAAUCCCUGAGCUUAACUUAGGAAUUGCAUUCGAUACUUGGAAGCUAGAGUAUGGGAGAGGAUGGUAGAAUUCCAGGUGUAGCGGUGAAAUGCGUAGAGAUCUGGAGGAAUACCGAUGGCGAAGGCAGCCAUCUGGCCUAAUACUGACGCUGAGGUACGAAAGCAUGGGGAGCAAACAGGAUUAGAUACCCCCGUAGUCCCUGUCUCUUAUAC